rnacentral:rRNA from 1 species
GACGUAGGGCGCAAGCGUUGUCCGGAUUUAUUGGGCGUAAAGAGCUCGUAGGCGGCUUGUCGCGUCGACUGUGAAACACCACGACUCAACCCUGGGAUGCGGGUGGAUACUGCCGGGCUCGAGUCCGGAAGAGGCGAGUGGAAUUCCCGGUGUAGCGGUGAAAUGCGCAGAUAUCGGGAGGAACACCAAUGGCGAAGGCAGCUCGCUGGGACGUGACUGACGCUGAGACGCGAAAGCGUGGGGAGCAAACAGG